rnacentral:rRNA from 1 species
GACGAACGCUGGCGGCGUGCCUAAUACAUGCAAGUAGAACGCCGAAGGAGGAGCUUGCUUCUCUGGCUGAGUUGCGAACGGGUGAGUAACGCGUAGGUAACCUGCCUGGUAGCGGGGGAUAACUAUUGGAAACGAUAGCUAAUACCGCAUAAGAGUAGAUGUUGCAUGACAUUUGCUUAAAAGUUGCAAUUGCAUCACUACCAGAUGGACCUGCGUUGUAUUAGCUAGUUGGUGGGGUAACGGCUCACCAAGGCGACGAUACAUAGCCGACCUGAGAGGGUGAUCGGGCACAAUGGGACUGGGACAAGGCCCAGACUCCCACGGGGGGGAGCAGUAGGGAAUUUUCGGCAAUGGACGGAAGUCUUAACGAGCAACGCCGCGGGAGUGAAGAAGGUUUUCGGGUCGGAAAGGCCUGUUGUAAGAGAAGAAAGAGUGUGAGAGUGAAAAGUUCACGCUGUGACGGUAUCUUAAGAGAAAGCAACGGCUAACUACGUG